GAAAUGUAUAUCUUACUCCACAUAAGUCUUUUCUACUCAUUCAGAGCCAUGUUUACCAAAAGAGCUUCAAGAAAUGGUAACCAAAACUCCACCAAUUUUAAAGGACACAGGAAUUUCAUAGCAAAUCUAUAGUACAAUUAAAUUUUCUGAGUUAAAAGCUUGGAGUCGAAAUGUUGUAGCCAACCAUCCCAAGAAACAAAGCUUUAACUAAAAUGUAUAUGCAAAUAAUCAAAUUGAUCUCAUUUACCAUACUCCUUUAUUAUUGCGAGACAAUAAUGACACUCUUAUAUUUGCUUCUCCACACCUUCCUAAUUCAAAAUAUUUUUAUUUACAAAAGACACCUAUCUAAAUGUUCUGUUCCAACACCUUGUAGGACUCCACUUAGAAAUUGGAAUCCAGAUGCACGUCUUACUUUCUUCUCCUCUAAGAAAUAAAUACAUAUGUAGUGUACGUAUCUUACAACACGAAAAAAUGAAAAGCAAACAUGUAGAUAGGUUUCAUAAAUACUGCAGAACGUUUAUAGAAUUAUCACGACUAAACACAGAUGAAGAGUAGGAAAUGUGCUACAUUACCCUGUCCCUUAAUGACCUCAAAACAUAUGGAACAAACAUCAGAAAGACAGACCACAGACAGUAUGUAAACAUACUAAAUCUGCCCCAACAAUUUAACCUCUUUGUUAUCUUAAUUACAUCAUAAAGAGAACAUAAAAUGUGAUUCUAGUCUAUUAAGCAUAUGCAUGGUAAUAAAAGGAAAAUUAACACCAAA
rnacentral:misc_RNA from 1 species